GUUCAUCUAUUGCUGCUUCACCCUGCAAUAAGAUAAUAAAUCAUGUGAAGUUAAUUGUUUCUGCUGUCAGGUCCCUGCAUUUAAAUGUAGUGAGAAUUUACGCCUUUGAAAUUUUUAUGUAUAGUGGUAUUUGAAAUUUAUGUUUUGCCGACUGGGUGUUAGAUAUUAAUGUUUGCUUGUUUAAUAUGUGCUUAUUUGAUCUAAAUCAUAUGGCACUUCACUUUCAAUUAUUGCAACCUGACUGGCAUAUGUACUGAGUAUAUCCAUGACCAUAUUUCUACCUGACGAAAUGCACUUUUGUUGAAGGAUUUUGUGUGUUUUUUAUUUGAAGCGCAGCCAAGUGAAGAGAAGGCAUAUGCAGAUAGUGAAGCAGUUUACCAGUGCUUAGAAACUGGGUACGUAAUAAGCCAGGAAAACCUUAUCUUGUAUGGACAAUCUGUCGGGAGCGGACCAACACUGCACUUUUCCUCUCGUUUGCAAAUACUACGUGGUGUGAUUCUCCGCAGUGCUAUACUAUCAGGCCUCCGUGUUGUUUGCCAUGUAAACUUUACUUUCUGUUUGACAUUUACAAAAAUGUCAAAAAAAUAAAGAAGGUGAAAUGCCCAGUGCUUGUUAUUCAUUCUGUUCACCACUAAUAACUUUUUCUGCUGGUAUUGUCGGCUCCCGCGCCUUUGAACUGCUGCUGGUCUAGGCAUGAGAACUGGAAGCAUCCACUAGGCUGCAAGGAGAUCUCACCCUCAUGUCAUUGCCAAUGUCAAAAUUGUC